CACGGGGGGAGCAAGCGUUGUUCGGAAUUACUGGGCGUAAAGGGCUCGUAGGCGGCCAACUAAGUCAGACGUGAAAUCCCUCGGCUUAACCGGGGAACUGCGUCUGAUACUGGAUGGCUUGAGUUUGGGAGAGGGAUGCGGAAUUCCAGGUGUAGCGGUGAAAUGCGUAGAUAUCUGGAGGAACACCGGUGGCGAAGGCGGCAUCCUGGACCAACACUGACGCUGAGGAGCGAAAGCCAGGGGAGCAAACGGG
rnacentral:rRNA from 1 species